CCUACGGGUGGCUGCAGUGGGGAAUAUUGGACAAUGGGGGCAACCCUGAUCCAGCCAUGCCGCGUGUGUGAAGAAGGCCCUCGGGUUGUAAAGCACUUUCAGUGAGGAAGAACGCCUGGUGGUUAAUACCCAUCAGGAAAGACAUCACUCACAGAAGAAGCACCGGCUAACUCCGUGCCAGCAGCCGCGGUAAUACGGAGUGUGCGAGCGUUAAUCGGAAUUACUGGGCGUAAAGCGCGCGUAGGUGGCUUGAUAAGCCGGUUGUGAAAGCCCCGGGCUCAACCUGGGAACGGCAUCCGGAACUGUCAAGCUAGAGUGCAGGAGAGGAAGGUAGAAUUCCCGGUGUAGCGGUGAAAUGCGUAGAGAUCGGGAGGAAUACCAGUGGCGAAGGCGGCCUUCUGGACUGACACUGACACUGAGGUGCGAAAGCGUGGGUAGCAAACAGGAUUAGAUACCCGAGUAGUC
rnacentral:rRNA from 1 species